AUCUUAUUAAAAUAAAAAAUAUUUAAAAAUUAUCAACCAAUCAAAUUAUAAUAUUGUUUACAAAAGUUACCUAUGAAUAAUAUUAUAAGCGAAAGUCUCUUAAGUGACUUAUGUUAAUAUAUAGUGAGAUUUUGUUUAUACUUACACAAUCUAACAUCGGAGUGACAACCUAGCUUAAUUUAAUUUGAGAAAUUCUGAUCACUCGUUAUGAAAUGCCAUUAAUCCAUCUAAUUGCUAGAAAAAUAGAUGGUCUACGCAACUUUACUUGACCUGAGAUUCAAUUCCCUUCAUGUGUAAAUAUGAGUGGUCUGAGAUUCAAUGUCUUUUUAUGUGGAAAAUAAACCUUGGCUAGCUUAUGAGUGAGGAGGCCCUAAUAUCUUCGCAUGGCAUUGUUUUAUUUAACGUGGCGCAUGCAUAUAUAUGCCCACAUUCUUAUCACAAAAUCUCCGGUAAACCACCUUGCAUACAAAAGACUUUGGUUAUUCUAAUCUCAGACCACUCACUGCAAGCAUAUAUCCACAUUUUAUCAGAAAGUUCCAGUCAGCUACAUUGCAUAAAAAACUGAUGAUCUAAUCUCAGACCACUCAUUGCAUGCAUAUAACC
rnacentral:lncRNA from 1 species